ACACAAGCACAGGUGGAGUACUUCCUAUUGGUUUUCCAUUGUGGCGGUCGAGGAACGAAGCGUGCAUCCUUGGGGCGGGCCACUGUGCACCUGCACACUCAUGUUGUUGGUUGGCGGGCUUUCCAUUCGAAAAUGGAUGGCAUUGAAGCACGCAACAUAUACUCAACCAUCGGAGAAAUUGUAAGGCUUCGAUGAGUAGGAGGACGCGGGGGUCGUUGAGAAACCUUGGGCGUGAGCCUGGGUGGACCGGUCCCCGGUGAAUAUCUUGGUGGUAGUAGCAAAUAUUCAAAUGAAAACUUUGAAGACUGAAGUGGGGAAAGGUUCCAUGUGAACAUC
rnacentral:ncRNA from 1 species